rnacentral:misc_RNA from 1 species
GUAAAACCCCUAGUCUUGCUUUCAAGAUAACUAGCAAGGUUCCAUACAAGACUGUUUUAAAAUCACAUAACGCUCUUGUGUUAAAGGCUGAGAACAUGGCUGACAAAGUUGAGUGGGUGAACAAAAUAAGAAAUAUCACACAGACUUCUAAAGGAACUACUGCCAAAGGCGCAUCUGCUUCUGAAGCUAGUCCUUCCAUCAGGCAAAGCCUUUCAGAUGGUUCCGUGGACACAAUGGCUAGAAGACCUGCUGAU